rnacentral:rRNA from 1 species
UCCGUAGGGUGAUUCCGUAGUUUUAUAUGAAAGGGGUCAAAAUUCACUCCAACCCCUGUGAACAUACCAAUUGUUGCCUCGGCGGAUCAGCCCGCUCCCGGUAAAACGGGACGGCCCGCCAGAGGACCCCUAAACUCUGUUUCUAUAUGUAACUUCUGAGUAAAACCAUAAAUAAAUCAAAACUUUCAACAACGGAUCUCUUGGUUCUGGCAUCGAUGAAGAACGCAGCAAAAUGCGAUAAGUAAUGUGAAUUGCAGAAUUCAGUGAAUCAUCGAAUCUUUGAACGCACAUUGCGCCCGCCAGUAUUCUGGCGGGCAUGCCUGUUCGAGCGUCAUUUCAACCCUCAAGCCCAGCUUGGUGUUGGGACUCGCGAGUCAAAUCGCGUUCCCCAAAUUGAUUGGCGGUCACGUCGAGCUUCCAUAGCGUAGUAGUAAAACCCUCGUUACUGGUAAUCGUCGCGGCCACGCCGUUAAACCCCAACUUCUGAAUGUUGACCUCGGAUCAGGUAGGAAUACCCGCUGAACUUAAGCAUAUCAAUAAGCGGAGGA